CCUCUGGGUCCAACCUCCCACCCGUGUUUAUUGUACCUUGUUGCUUCGGCAGGCCCGCCUCACGGCCGCCGGGGGGCUUCUGCCCCCGGGCCCGCGCCUGCCGGAGACAAUCUUGAACGCUGUCUGAAGAAUGCAGUCUGAGCGAUUAAGCAAAAUUAGUUAAAACUUUCAACAACGGAUCUCUUGGUUCCGGCAUCGAUGAAGAACGCAGCGAAAUGCGAUAAUUAAUGUGAAUUGCAGAAUUCAGUGAAUCAUCGAGUCUUUGAACGCACAUUGCGCCCCCUGGUAUUCCGGGGGGCAUGCCUGUCCGAGCGUCAUUGCUGCCCUCAAGCACGGCUUGUUUGUUGGGUCUUGUUCCCCCGGGAACAGGCCCGAAAGGCAGUGGCGGCACCGUCCGAUCCUCGAGCGUAUGGGGCUUUGUCACCCGCUCUGUAGGCCCGGCCGGCGCUUGCCGACCCAAUCAAUCUUUUUCAGGUUGACCUCGGAUCAGGUAGGGAUACCCGCUGAACUUAAGCAUAUCA
rnacentral:rRNA from 1 species